CCUACGGGCGGCAGCAGUGGGGAUUAUUGGACAAUGGGGGCAACCCUGAUCCAGCCAUGCCGCGUGUGUGAAGAAGGCCCUCGGGUUGUAAAGCACUUUCAGUGAGGAAGAACGCCUGGUGGUUAAUACCCAUCAGGAAAGACAUCACUCACAGAAGAAGCACCGGCUAACUCCGUGCCAGCAGCCGCGGUAAUACGGAGGGUGCGAGCGUUAAUCGGAAUUACUGGGCGUAAAGCGCGCGUAGGUGGCUUGAUAAGCCGGUUGUGAAAGCCCCGGGCUCAACCUGGGAACGGCAUCCGGAACUGUCAAGCUAGAGUGCAGGAGAGGAAGGUAGAAUUCCCGGUGUAGCGGUGAAAUGCGUAGAGAUCGGGAGGAAUACCAGUGGCGAAGGCGGCCUUCUGGACUGACACUGACACUGAGGUGCGAAAGCGUGGGUAGCAAACAGGAUUAGAUACCCGAGUAGUC
rnacentral:rRNA from 1 species